rnacentral:rRNA from 1 species
UAGGGAAUCUUCCGCAAUGGACGAAAGUCUGACGGAGCAACGCCGCGUGAGUGAAGAAGGUUUUCGGAUCGUAAAACUCUGUUGUCAGAGAAGAACAAGUUGGAGAGUAACUGCUCCAGCCUUGACGGUAUCUGACCAGAAAGCCACGGCUAACUACGUGCCAGCAGCCGCGGUAAUACGUAGGUGGCAAGCGUUGUCCGGAUUUAUUGGGCGUAAAGCGAGCGCAGGCGGUUCCUUAAGUCUGAUGUGAAAGCCCACGGCUCAACCGUGGAAGGUCAUUGGAAACUGGGGAACUUGAGUGCAGAAGAGGAGAGUGGAAUUCCAUGUGUAGCGGUGAAAUGCGUAGAUAUAUGGAGGAACACCAGUGGCGAAGGCGACUCUCUGGUCUGUAACUGACGCU